UACGAGGGGGGCGAGCGUUGUUCGGAAUUAUUGGGCGUAAAGGGUGCGUAGGCGGUUUGGUAAGUCUUGUGUGAAAUCUCCAGGCUCAACUUGUAGUCUGCACGAGAAACUGCCGGGCUUGAGUGUGGGAGAGGUGAGUGGAAUUCCUGGUGUAGCGGUGAAAUGCGUAGAUAUCAGGAGGAACACCUGUGGCGAAAGCGGCUCACUGGACCAUAACUGACGCUGAUGCACGAAAGCUAGGGGAGCAAACAGG
rnacentral:rRNA from 1 species